CCUACGGGGGGCAGCAGUGAGGAAUAUUGGGCAAUGGCCGAGAGGCGGAACCAGCCAAGUCGCGUGAGGGAAGACGGCCCUACGGGUUGUAAACCUCUUUUGUCGGGGAGCAAAGCGAACCACGUGUGGGGCAUUGAGAGUACCCGAAGAAAAAGCAUCGGAUAACUCCGUGCCAGCAGCCGCGGUAAUACGGAGGAUGCGAGCGUUAUCCGGAUUUAUUGGGUUUAAAGGGUGCGCAGGCGGAGGUGCAAGUCAGCGGUCAAAUUGCUGGGCUCAACCCCGUACUGCCGUUGAAACUGCAUCCCUUGAGUGCGCGAGACGUAUGCGUCCUGCGUGGUGUAGCUGU
rnacentral:rRNA from 1 species